rnacentral:rRNA from 1 species
GGAACUUUAUGAGUGAGGGCCUUUGGGUCCACCUCCCACCCGUGUUUAUUUUACCUUGUUGCUUCGGCGGGCCCGCCUUUACUGGCCGCCGGGGGGCUCACGCCCCCGGGCCCGCGCCCGCCGAAGACACCCCCGAACUCUGUCUGAAGAUUGAAGUCUGAGUGAAAAUAUAAAUUAUUUAAAACUUUCAACAACGGAUCUCUUGGUUCCGGCAUCGAUGAAGAACGCAGCGAAAUGCGAUACGUAAUGUGAAUUGCAAAUUCAGUGAAUCAUCGAGUCUUUGAACGCACAUUGCGCCCCCUGGUAUUCCGGGGGGCAUGCCUGUCCGAGCGUCAUUGCUGCCCUCAAGCCCGGCUUGUGUGUUGGGCCCCGUCCUCCGAUUCCGGGGGACGGGCCCGAAAGGAGCGGCGGCACCGCGUCCGGUCCUCGAGCGUAUGGGGCUUUGUCACCCGCUCUGUAGGCCCGGCCGGCGCUUGCCGAUCAACCCAAAUUUUUUAUCCAGGUUGACCUCGGAUCAGGUAGGGAUACCCCGCUGAAACUUUAAGCAUACAAAAG